rnacentral:rRNA from 1 species
AGUGAACGCUGGCGGUAGGCCUAACACAUGCAAGUCGAACGGCAGCACAGUAAGAGCUUGCUCUUACGGGUGGCGAGUGGCGGACGAGUGAGGAAUACAUCGGAAUCUACUUUUUCGUGGGGGAUAACGUAGGGAAACUUACGCUAAUACCGCAUACGACCUACGGGUGAAAGCAGGGGAUCUUCGGACCUUGCGCGAUUGAAUGAGCCGAUGUCGGAUUAGCUAGUUGGCGGGGUAAAGGCCCACCAAGGCGACGAUCCGUAGCUGGUCUGAGAGGAUGAUCAGCCACACUGGAACUGAGACACGGUCCAGACUCCUACGGGAGGCAGCAGUGGGGAAUAUUGGACAAUGGGCGCAAGCCUGAUCCAGCCAUACCGCGUGGGUGAAGGCCUUCGGGUUGUAAAGCCCUUUUGUUGGGAAAGAAAAGCAGCAGGUUAAUACCCCGCUGUUCUGACGGUACCCAAAGAAUAAGCACCGGCUAACUUCGUG